rnacentral:lncRNA from 1 species
GCCCAGGCUGGAGUGCAGUGGCGCGAUCUCGGCUUACUGCAAGCUCCGCCUCCCGAGUUCACGUCAUUCUCCUGCCUCAGCCUCCCGAGUAGCUGGGACUACUGGCGCCCGCCACCACGCCAGGCUAACUUUUUUGUAUUUUUAGUAGAGACGGGGUUUCACCGUGUUAGCCACGAUGGUCUCGAUCUCCUAACCUCAUGAUCCGCCCGCCUCGGCUUCCCAAAGUGCUGGGGUUACAAGCGUGAGCCACCGCGCCUGGCCUGGGAGUGGUAGUCUCUUAACCGCUCCCAGCCCCUUGUUUGCAGGACUACAGGACUACAAUCCCAGCAUGCUCCGGGCUCGGGGUUGGGGCACAGCCAUUAGAGAGAGAGAGGCAGGGCGCUGCGCACCUCGCCGGGCAUGCGGGGCGUUGUAGUCUCUUAACGACUCCCGGCUCUUUGGUCGCCUGGCUGCAGGACUACAAUUCCAGCAGGCACCGGGCUCAGUGGGAGGGGCAGGGUGGUGUGGACCUGGCAAAGCAGUGGUGCCCGCUCACCACCUGCUGCCUUUCUCUCCAUGGGGAACCUGACUGGCCAGUGUCUCAAAGACGUGGAUGGUGACCAGCUCUCUCCAGAACAGAUGGCGCUCCAGCUUUGUGGGAGAAACUUUCAAGAUGGAGUCUUGCUCUGUUGCCCAGGCUGGAAUGCAAUGAUGCAAUCUCAGCUCACUGCAACCUCCAUCUCCCAGAUUCAAGUGGUUCUCCUGCCUCAGCCUCCCAAGUAGUUGGGACUACAGGUGGUGUAAUUCUCCUUUUGUGCCCAGGUGCUGCCUUCAGGAGGGAUUAUGACAUAUGCCUGGACCAAACACCUGGAUGACGUGACACUCCUGCAUGAGCCUUGCCCUAAGGGGAUAUUUUUACAUGUUGGUGAACUCAGCAUCUAGGUGAUGUGACUCUACUCUUCUGCCUGGGCCCUGCCCACAGAGGGCAUUGGAACAUUUCACUUGGCUCAGCACCAAGAAGAUGUUACUCUCCUACCUGGACCUCUCCCACAGGGGACACCUAGAUGAUAUGAUUUUUCUUCCUGGUUCCUGCCCAGACUUCAAAUUGUGAUGUAUAUCUGGGCCCAAAACACAGGUAAGGUAAUAACUCUCAUAGCUAGACCAAGACAAUAGAGAGAUUUUGACUUUUGUAGCUAGGCUUAGAACAAUGGGUACAUAUUCCUGGCCCAGCUCCCAGGUGAUAUGACCCUCCUACCUAGUUAGUGCUCACAGGUGUGAUUGUUACCUAUGUUUGGACUCAGUUCAUUGUGAGCAUUGUGAUCACUCAUACCUGGACCUAGCCACAAAAAAAUAUGUUGACUCUUAUACCUCAAAAUAGGAGACUCAACCCACAAGAGGUGUUGACUCUUACACCUUUUGCUGGAAAAUGUCCAGGAUUGUGAAUUUCUGCUAUUGAUUGGGUCCAGGUAUGAGUUUCAUUGCUGUGCCUGAGCUGAGUUCAAAAUAAGUCACUAUCUCACCUGUGGCUGCAUCUACAUAUGACAGUCACAAUUCCAAGUCUGGAUUGCAUUUGUGUAUGAGACUUAGGACCUCACCAGUAAGCACUGUCUAUGUGUGAGGGUGACAAUUCUAUCAGCUGGAAGUGCAUAUGAGAGUCACAAUGUCACCUUUGUUCUUGGUCCUGUUAUGACAUUGUAUCACUUGAAGGCUUUAUCCAGACCCAGGACCUUGCCUGUUGCCCUAAGCCUAGAUAUCAGAGUCAAAAUCUGUUCUCUUAGCUGGAUCCAGGUAUGAGAGUCAACAUCUCACCAGUGAGCUGUGACCAUGUAUAUGUCACAAUUUCACCUGUGGGCAGGAACCAGACAUGAGAGUCAUAUCACUUGGGUGCUGGGUAAGUGAUACAUUACAAUUCUUACUUUGGGCAGGGUCCAGGCAACAGAGGAGAGACACAUCACCUAUAUGAUUGGCCCAGCGAUGGGUGAAAAUCCUCUCUGAGAGCAGGGCCCAUUCAGGAGAGUCAUAUCACCUAGCUGCUUGGCCAAGUGAAAUAUCACAAUGCACCCUUUGCACAGGGCCAAUACAGGACAGUUACAUCACCAGGGAGCUGGGUCCAGCUAUAUGUCACAAUUCCUUUUGUGGAAAGUGUCCAGGCAGAAAAGCAGAGUCACAUCACCUAGCCAGUGGGCCCAGAGAGAUGCCACAAUGCCAUUUGUAGGCUGGGCCCUGGGAGAAGAAUAACAUCACCCAGUUCUGGGCCCAGCAAUAUGUUGUGAUCCCAACUGGAAAAAGUUUCCAGACAAGAGAGGAGAAUCACAUCAUCAUGAUGAUAAGCCAAGAGAUUUCACAAUCCCCCCCUCUGCACAUGUCCCAGGCAGAAGACCUGAAUUACCUUUUUACUUAGGCCAGUAAUGUCACAGUGCUUCCUCAGGGCAGGGCACAAACAAGAUAGGACAGUCACAUCAUUAAGUGCUAGACUUAAUGCUAGAUAUGUCAUAACCUUACUUGUGGGCAGGAUCCAGGAAGGAGAGAUUUAUGUCACCUAGGUGCUCAGUAAAGAGAUAUAUUACAAUUACAAUUCCUUUGAGGGAAGUGGCCAGGCAAAAUAGUCACAUCACCUAGGUGCUUGGCCCAGGUAUAAGUCACAAGAUAUCUGUGUGUUGAGCCCAGAAGGACUAUCAAAUUACGAAGUUUCUACGUAGAAGUGCAUGUCACAGACACCUGCAGGAAGGCCCAGGAAUGAGACUCCCAAUUCCACACAUUUUCCCACUCCAAGUGUAAGAGUCAACAACUCCUGAGACUUAGGCCCAAGUACAUGAGUCACAAUCUCAACAGUGGAUUGCAUCCUGCCAUGAGAGCCCCAAUCCCUUCUCUAAGCUGUGUUCCAGUAGAGGAGUCACAACAUCAAUGGUGUGCUGAAUCCUGGUUGGAGAGUUCCCACUUCACCUGUGGACUGGAUCUGUAUAUGAGAGUCUCAAUUCCAGCUCUCAACUGCCCCUGGGUGUGAGAUUCAGGACCUCAAUUGUGAGCUGUGUACACAUGGACAUGUAACAAUUUCUACUUUUGGCUGUGUGUUCAUACAAGACUCAAUCUCAUCUGUGUUCUCGGCCCUGUUAUGACACUCUUUGUACCACCCAUGGGAUUUAUUCAAUACGCAUGGGUGUCAUAAUCCUCUGUGAUCUUCAUACAAGUAGAAGACCCAGGACCUUACCCAUGGCCCUAGGCCUAUCUAUGAGAAUUGACAUUUUUCCUCACAUUUUUAAUUUUAACAAAUAAGUUAUUCUCCUGUCAGUUCAGAUUCAUCAGGACAUUGAAUCAUAUUCAGAAGAAUUAAAACUGAAAGACUAAUAGGUUUGUUAAAGCAAUGCAGGUUGUCAUACUAAUAAACCCUAAAAUUUCAAAGGCUUAGCAAAAUAAUACAUUUUCUGCUUACAUCACCAUCCCCUUUGGCUUAUUUCUGGUUAAGAGAACUUCUUUGUGAUUAUUCGGAGAUUAGAUUUUUUUAAAAUUUCCUAUCUGCACUCUCUCUUUCUUCAGCCAAUAGAUGAAAAAAGAUGCAAAGAAGACACAUUUGCUUUUUAUGCACACAUCACUUCCAGUCACUAUGUUGAGCAGAGUCAGUGUGAGGACAAUUGAGAAUAGCAGUUUUCUGGCAGGACAGCCACUUCUCAGCAGAAGAUGACACAAUAAAAGUAUAAAUCUUUCAUGGGAGGCUCACAUAUUUUCAGCAAAUUAAGCAUAUGCAUGAAUAAAAUUCUUGUGGUA